AGUGAACGCUGGCGGUAGGCCUAACACAUGCAAGUCGAACGGCAGCACAGUAAGAGCUUGCUCUUACGGGUGGCGAGUGGCGGACGGGUGAGGAAUACAUCGGAACCUACUUUUUCGUGGGGGAUAACGUGGGGAAACUUACGCUAAUACCGCAUACGACCUACGGGUGAAAGCAGGGGAUCUUCGGACCUUGCGCGAUUGAAUGAGCCGAUGUCGGAUUAGCUAGUUGGCGGGGUAAAGGCCCACCAAGGCGACGAUCCGUAGCUGGUCUGAGAGGAUGAUCAGCCACACUGGAACUGAGACACGGUCCAGACUCCUACGGGAGGCAGCAGUGGGGAAUAUUGGACAAUGGGCGCAAGCCUGAUCCAGCCAUACCGCGUGGGUGAAGAAGGCCUUCGGGUUGUAAAGCCCUUUUGUUGGGAAAGAAAAGCAGCAGGUUAAUACCCCGCUGUUCUGACGGUACCCAAAGAAUAAGCACCGGCUAACUUCGUG
rnacentral:rRNA from 1 species